UAUGCUGUAAGCCGUAACUUCGAGAUUAGAGAUCAAAGACCGCCACCGGUCCAACUACUGACGUAUCAGAUCACUGGAAAACCUAUGGUAUAGUUCUACGGGAUCCUGACUGGGACAAAAGAGUUAAGUGUACGGCUCCAGUUCCGGAAGUGAAAGUCCGUAUAUAAAGACUUUCAAGCCUGGAUCAAUAAAACAUUUUGUUCUGAGCAAAAGAAUAAUGGAAAACAGGAAAAAGGCAAAGGUACAAGGCUUUGUACAUAAUUAUUUGAAGUGAUUACUCGACCCAUAAAUCAAUGCCUUCCCAACGACUUCCAACCAAUCACAGACGUCAAUGUUACACAAUAGGAUUGUGGGUAGUGUAGAUCUUUUCAAUGACAUCGCGAAUAACUUUUUUUUUCUUAAAAUAAGGUUGAUAUCAUACAGAUUUGUGGCUUCCACAGGUGCAUAUAUCAUCGUUUCACAACCCCACAGCUCGUGCACAUGAACACACCGAGAUGUGGAACAACAACCCCCAAAACUUGGAAAGUGGGACCCUCCUAGUUGCAUGUGAACGCACAACUUGUCAAUGAAGUCUUACCUGUGGAAGGUCACUGUUAGACCAUCUCGUACUGGUUGUUGGUGAUGUAUCGAGACAAGCAGCAAGCCAGGAAUAUCCCAAUGAGCUGAGAAGAAAAAUAUUGAGGUGUCAAAACAAAGACACUUUUACACAUAUUUUGGGUGUUUUUCAACCACACUCGGACCAUGAUCAGUAACAGUGUCUUUAAACCGUCGGCCGACAGCCAACAAACGCAGAUUUAUUAUAAACAUGUCUGGAUGGUUAUUUUUAAUUCAGUGAUUUUGUUGAUGUUUCCCCAGUAGACUCUGUCUGUCACUGCAUCUCCAGAUUUAAUAAGCGAAAGGAAGAAAAAUUUACUAAAUGGUCGGGAAAAAAAAUAUGAUUUGUACUUUAACCCACCGGACUCACAACACGCCUCCAUUUGCUCUGAGGCUAAAAAACAUCUGAGAAAACAUGCAAUGUACCUGGAAGAAUGCAAUCCCAAACGAGAUCCCUGCGAUGAUUCCCAGGUUGGAUUCCAUUACACUGGUCACCAUGGCAAAGCAGCCCUACACAUAAAAGAAAGCAAUUUCUUUUUAUAGAGAGGCCUUUAAAGUUAUCUACAGUAUUUCACUGGUUUGAAGCUACAUGAUAUCUAGUGUUGGUGUAGGCAGUGAACUCACCGUCGUGUACACCUCAUUUUCAGCCUUGUCGAGGUCUUUCAGGGUCUCAGGGUCACACUUGGCGCUUUCUUUGCAGCAGCUGGCUGGGAUGCCCUUCUCUUUAAAGUAAGCUGUGUCGCUCCAGUCCGUGUAAUUUUUCACUCCGCAGCAGUGCAACUACAUGGAUUAAAGCCAACGACAAAAAACAUUGGAAUAAA